AGAGUUUGAUCAUGGCUCAGAACGUACGCUGGCGGCACGCCUAACACAUGCAAGUCGAACGAAGUAGCAAUACUUAGUGGCAGACGGGUGAGUAACAUGUAGGUAUCUGCCCUUUGGCCUGGAAUAACACGAGGAAACUUGUGCUAAUACCGGAUAAGUCUUUACGGAGAAAGCUUUAUGCACCAUUGGAUGAGCCUGCACUUGAUUAGUUUGUUGGUGGGGUAAUGGCCUACCAAGACUGUGAUCAAUAGCUGAUUUGAGAGGAUGAUCAGCCACAUUGGGACUGAGACACGGCCCAAACUCCUACGGGAGGCAGCAGUGGGGAAUCUUGCACAAUGGAGGAAACUCUGAUGCAGCGAUGCCGCGUGAGUGAAGAAGGCCCUUGGGUUGUAAAGCUCUUUCGUCGGGGAAGAAAAUGACUGUACCCGAAUAAGAAGGUCCGGCUAACUUCGUGCCAGCAGCCGCGGUAAUACGAAGGGACCUAGCGUAGUUCGGAAUUACUGGGCUUAAAGAGUUCGUAGGUGGUUGAAAAAGUUAGUGGUGAAAUCCCAGAGCUUAACUCUGGAACUGCCAUUAAAACUUUUCAGCUAGAGUAUGAUAGAGGAAAGCAGAAUUUCUAGUGUAGAGGUGAAAUUCGUAGAUAUUAGAAAGAAUACCAAUUGCGAAGGCAGCUUUCUGGAUCAUUACUGACACUGAGGAACGAAAGCAUGGGUAGCGAAGAGGAUUAGAUACCCUCGUAGUCCAUGCCGUAAACGAUGUGUGUUAGACGUUGGAAAUUUAUUUUCAGUGUCGCAGGGAAACCGAUAAACACACCGCCUGGGGAGUACGACCGCAAGGUUAAAACUCAAAUGAAUUGACGGGGACCCGCACAAGUAGUGGAGCAUGUGGUUUAAUUCGAAGAUACGCGCAGAACCUUACCAACACUUGACAUGUUCGUCGCGACUCUAAGAGAUUAGAGUUUUCGGUUCGGCCGGACGAAACACAGGUGCUGCAUGGCUGUCGUCAGCUCGUGUCGUGAGAUGUUGGGUUAAGUCCCGCAACGAGCGCAACCCUCACUUUUAGUUGCCAUCAUUAAGUUGGGCACUCUGAAAGAACUGCCAGUGAUAAGCUGGAGGAAGGUGGGGAUGACGUCAAGUCCUCAUGGCCCUUACGUGUUGGGCUACACACGUGCUACAAUGGUAUCUACAACAGGAAGCAAAACUGCGAAGUUAAGCAAAUCCCUAAAAGAUACCUCAGUUCGGAUUGCACUCUGCAACUCGAGUGCAUGAAGCUGGAAUUACUAGUAAUCGUGGAUCAGCGUGCCACGGUGAAUGCGUUCCCGGGUCUUGUACACACCGCCCGUCACACCAUGGGAGUUGGUUCUACCUUAAGGCAAGGUUUCAAACCCUUGACCACGGUAUAGUCAGCGACUGGGGUGAAGUCGUAACAAGGU
rnacentral:rRNA from 1 species